rnacentral:lncRNA from 1 species
GUUAGCCUGGCUCUUGAGCCUGGCUGAUAGAAACUCCCCCAAUCCCCACUUGUUUCUAUGUUUAGGGUUUGGGCAAACUGGUAUUUUCACUCUCAGGGGCUAGCUCCAUUUGUCUGGCCACUUUUCUGACUACAGUGUUGGGUAUUGCACCUUUACAACAAGGCUGUGAGGGCUGAGCACUCAGAGGCAAAGGCAGAGGCAGGGGGAUCCCUGAGUUCAAGGCUACCCAGGGCUACACAACCCAGACCAUGGCUCCUAACAACACAGAACAGAGAGUAGUGGACUAACUGCCAUGUGCAUAUGAUCUGUAGCCUUUACAGUGGCCUUGAAAGUUGCUAAUCCCCAUUACUGAUGAAGAGACUGAAGGUCAUGGGACACAAACUUCAGCUUGGAAGGGCACCUGCUGCCCUAGCCCUCACCUGGGUCCCCAGCAUCCCAGACAACAGUCACCUGUGUGGCUCCUGGUGUGGUGUGCACUAGGCCCAGAUGCCGGAAGGACAGGGAGAGAAUGAGCACAGCCUUGUCCCGGUGCUGAGCCUGUAAGCAAUUAAAGAAGAUGUUUUCAGCUAGUGAGGAAGACUUAGAUGGCUUUUAAAAAGUAAAAUGCAGGAACAGGACAACAGAGAAGUACCGGCCGUUUCCAGGGCUGGGAGUUGAUUCCUGUUAAUGCCAAGAAACUAGGAUCCUCCAUUUCCUUGUUCUCCUUACCACUUUAAUAAAGAAAAAGAAUCGUGUGUUUC